rnacentral:tRNA from 1 species
GCCCAGAUGGCGAAAUUGGUAGACGCACAUGGUUCAGAUCCAUGCUCUAUAAAGAUUGGAGGUUCGAGUCCUCUUCUGGGCACCA